rnacentral:rRNA from 1 species
GACGAACGCUGGCGGCGUGCUUAACACAUGCAAGUCGAACGGAAAGGCCCUGCUUUUGUGGGGUUCUCGAGUGGCGAACGGGUGAGUAACACGUGAGUAACCUGCCCUUGACUUUGGGAUAACUUCAGGAAACUGGGGCUAAUACCGGAUAGGAGCUCCUGCUGCAUGGUGGGGGUUGGAAAGUUUCGGCGGUUGGGGAUGGACUCGCGGCUUAUCAGCUUGUUGGUGGGGUAGUGGCUUACCAAGGCUUUGACGGGUAGCCGGCCUGAGAGGGUGACCGGCCACAUUGGGACUGAGAUACGGCCCAGACUCCUACGGGAGGCAGCAGGGGGGAAUAUUGCACAAUGGGCGGAAGCCUGAUGCAGCAACGCCGCGUGCGGGAUGACGGCCUUCGGGUUGUAAACCGCUUUCGCCUGUGACGAAGCGUGAGUGACGGUAAUGGGUAAAGAAGCACCGGCUAACUACGUG